rnacentral:rRNA from 1 species
GAGUUUGAUCAUGGCUCAGAACGAACGCCGGUGGCAGGCCUAACACAUGCAAGUCGAGCGAGACCUUCGGGUCUAGCGGCGGACGGGUUAGUAACGCGUGGGAACGUGCCCUUUACUACGGAAUAGUCCCGGGAAACUGGGUUUAAUACCGUAUACGCCCUUCGGGGGAAAGAUUUAUCGGUAAAGGAUCGGCCCGCGUUAGAUUAGAUAGUUGGUGGGGUAAUGGCCUACCAAGUCUACGAUCUAUAGCUGGUUUGAGAGGAUGAUCAGCAACACUGGGACUGAGACACGGCCCAGACUCCUACGGGAGGCAGCAGUGGGGAAUCUUGGACAAUGGGCGCAAGCCUGAUCCAGCCAUGCCGCGUGAGUGACGAAGGCCUUAGGGUCGUAAAGCUCUUUCGCCAGGGAUGAUAAUGACAGUACCUGGUAAAGAAACCCCGGCUAACUCCGUGCCAGCAGCCGCGGUAAUACGGAGGGGGUUAGCGUUGUUCGGAAUUACUGGGCGUAAAGCGCACGUAGGCGGACUGGAAAGUUGGGGGUGAAAUCCCGGGGCUCAACCUCGGAACUGCCUCCAAAACUACUAGUCUAGAGUUCGAGAGAGGUGAGUGGAAUUCCGAGUGUAGAGGUGAAAUUCGUAGAUAUUCGGAGGAACACCAGUGGCGAAGGCGGCUCACUGGCUCGAUACUGACGCUGAGGUGCGAAAGUGUGGGGAGCAAACAGGAUUAGAUACCCUGGUAGUCCACACCGU